rnacentral:lncRNA from 1 species
AGAAUCCACAAGGACUGCAUAUGGGUCUGAGUGUGGCUCGAUCAAUCCUUGUGUACCCACGAAUAGGUUCUUAACCAAUUAUUUCACUAAAAAAUUUUUAGUAUUCAAUUUUGCCCCAGACAUCUCUUCAGCAAGCAUGUGGUGCCUCCACUAAAGGUUUUGGUUAGGUCCAACCAUUAACAUACCAGAAUUUAGUGUAUCUAACAAAGGAGUGACUAGGUCCGAGUGUGGCUCGGCCAACCUGACCAUCAUCAGAAAGAUACAACUAAAACAACAUAUAAUAAAUGAUAAUUCUGAC